rnacentral:lncRNA from 1 species
GGAAAAAGAAAAUAGAAGAGGUACCCUUAUUUAUAUGGAAAACAUGUAUAGGGGGAGUUGUUCUUGCCUAAGUGUAAGUAAAAAUUUGCUUUGGAGUCUACUUAUUUAUCACUAUUAGCUGUUAGGAUAAUUUCCCCCCACAAAGUGGUAGGGCACUGAGAUCCGCCCUGGUGGAAUAGGUUUAUGGUUGCUUGAGGAAUGCCUAAGCUUCAAGAGGAGGCUUAAUUUUUAAUUGUUUGCCCAAUAGCAGAGAUCUGACAGUGUAUGUGCAGUGCAGUCGUGCAGAGGCAUCAUUUAGUUCAAAUUUAAAGAAAAACAAAUUUUUUAAUAUAAGCUCUAUGGCUUAAAUUUCUUUUCUCCUGCCCCUUUCUUUUAUGUUGUUAACCUUUGAUUGCAACUAAUUUUUUCUUCACCGAUGCUUUCAGGUUUCUGUUGAGGAUUCACCAAGGGAAGUAUUUGCCCACGUUUCAGCCUCCAGAUGCUGGGAAAUGGUAAGAGAUAGAGUUAAUCAGGAGAUCGCAAAGCAACACAAGUUGGGAAAACCAAAGCUUCCACCUCUGCAGCCCCCAGGAAGCCUUGACGGUGUGGAAAUGUUUGGUUUGACUUCGCCAGCUAUUGUGCAGGUAAAAGCUUCUGUGGGAACUGUUAUUAUGUGGAAACUGGAUAAUGUUUGAUCUUAAACCGAAUAUUGUAAUUUUGUUUGACUGCUUUCUGCUUAACCUGAGAGCUGUUCUGGUUAGCAGAUGAAUUUGAAUCAUAAAUUAGGCAGCAGACUUACAGCUAAUCUUGAGCAUUAGAUUCCACCCAUAAGAUUGGAUGGUUUUCGUGAAGUGAUUUUAUUGCUUUGUGUCCUUCCCUGUUCUUUGUUUUAUAAUUAUUGUAGUUUCUNCAUGGAAAACCUAAAUAAAGGGAUUUGUUCUUGCCCAAGUGCAAGUAAAUUUGCUUUGGAGUCUACUUAAUCAUCACUGUUAGCUGUUAAAUUAUUUUUUUCCCCACAAAGUGGUAGGGCACUGAGAUCCGCCCUUGUGGACCAGGUUUAUGGUUGCUUGAGGAACUUAAAGCAAAAAUUCUGUAUUUUUCUGCUCAUUAGUGAUGAAAUUUGGAAAAAGAAAAUAGAAGAGGUACCCUUAUUUAUAUGGAAAACAUGUAUAGGGGGAGUUGUUCUUGCCUAAGUGUAAGUAAAAAUUUGCUUUGGAGUCUACUUAUUUAUCACUAUUAGCUGUUAGGAUAAUUUCCCCCCACAAAGUGGUAGGGCACUGAGAUCCGCCCUGGUGGAAUAGGUUUAUGGUUGCUUGAGGAAUGCCUAAGCUUCAAGAGGAGGCUUAAUUUUUAAUUGUUUGCCCAAUAGCAGAGAUCUGACAGUGUAUGUGCAGUGCAGUCGUGCAGAGGCAUCAUUUAGUUCAAAUUUAAAGAAAAACAAAUUUUUUAAUAUAAGCUCUAUGGCUUAAAUUUCUUUUCUCCUGCCCCUUUCUUUUAUGUUGUUAACCUUUGAUUGCAACUAAUUUUUUCUUCACCGAUGCUUUCAGGUUUCUGUUGAGGAUUCACCAAGGGAAGUAUUUGCCCACGUUUCAGCCUCCAGAUGCUGGGAAAUGGUAAGAGAUAGAGUUAAUCAGGAGAUCGCAAAGCAACACAAGUUGGGAAAACCAAAGCUUCCACCUCUGCAGCCCCCAGGAAGCCUUGACGGUGUGGAAAUGUUUGGUUUGACUUCGCCAGCUAUUGUGCAGGUAAAAGCUUCUGUGGGAACUGUUAUUAUGUGGAAACUGGAUAAUGUUUGAUCUUAAACCGAAUAUUGUAAUUUUGUUUGACUGCUUUCUGCUUAACCUGAGAGCUGUUCUGGUUAGCAGAUGAAUUUGAAUCAUAAAUUAGGCAGCAGACUUACAGCUAAUCUUGAGCAUUAGAUUCCACCCAUAAGAUUGGAUGGUUUUCGUGAAGUGAUUUUAUUGCUUUGUGUCCUUCCCUGUUCUUUGUUUUAUAAUUAUUGUAGUUUCUCUUUCAUUGUUCUUGCUGAAAGUCCUUUCUCUGGUUGGCAG